GUUUGACCUCGGAUCAGGUAGGGUUACCCGCU
rnacentral:rRNA from 1 species